rnacentral:rRNA from 1 species
UACGGGGGGAGCAAGCGUUGUUCGGAAUUACUGGGCGUAAAGGGCUCGUAGGCGGCCAACUAAGUCAGACGUGAAAUCCCCAGGCUCAACCUGGGAACUGCGUCUGAUACUGGAUGGCUUGAAUUCGGGAGAGGGAUGCAGAAUUCCAGGUGUAGCGGUGAAAUGACGUAGAUAUCUGGAGGAAUACCGGUGGCGAAGGCGGCAUCCUGGACCGACAUUGACGCUGAUGAGCGAAAGCUAGGGGAGCAAACGGGG